AACGAACGCUGGCGGCAUGCCUAACACAUGCAAGUCGAACGAGACCUUCGGGUCUAGUGGCGCACGGGUGCGUAACGCGUGGGAAUCUGCCCUUCGGUUGGGAAUAACUGAGAGAAAUUUCAGCUAAUACCUUAUAAUGUCUUCGGACCAAAGAUUUAUCGCCGAGGGAUGAGCCCGCGUAGGAUUAGGUAGUUGGUGGGGUAAUGGCCUACCAAGCCGACGAUCCUUAGCUGGUCUGAGAGGAUGAUCAGCCACACUGGGACUGAGACACGGCCCAGACUCCUACGGGAGGCAGCAGUGGGGAAUAUUGGACAAUGGGCGAAAGCCUGAUCCAGCAAUGCCGCGUGAGUGAUGAAGGCCUUAGGGUUGUAAAGCGCUUUUACCCGGGAUGAUAAUGACAGUACCGGGAGAAUAAGCUCCGGCUAACUCCGUG
rnacentral:rRNA from 1 species